rnacentral:tRNA from 1 species
UUCAUAGUAGUUUAUUUUAAAACAUUACUUUUUCAGGGUAAAGAUGAGGCAUUAUCCUAAGAAU